UUUGAGAUGGGAGAAUCUUUACCGACAGAUUGUUAAAUUUGAGUCCUACGGAAUAGUCCACAGAUUAUCGGUUGCGUUGUGUGUGGUCGAUUUAGAAGGAUUGCGUUCGAAUUUAGGUACACCUUUCGUAUGGACACAAAUGUUAUAUUUAUUUCUUUUCUCUUGUACUGGUAUUUAUGCCUUAUCUAUCUUCGAAAAAACAAAAACAAAAACAAAAAAUCCGAUAGAAUAAAAACGUUAGUAAAGAGAGUCGUUUAUCGAAAAAGAGAGUAGUUUAAAAUAUUGGUGGUUGCGGGAUGUCAUAGUGUAUUUACUCGGAGUUAGGAUUACUCUAUUUACCCUCUGAUAUAUGAAGUGAUAUAUAAGCAGGUGGAGC
rnacentral:lncRNA from 1 species